UGAAAUCUUGGUUUGAGGGUAACGCAUUAUUGAAAUGACUUGCUUUUAACUGUAACAUUAUAAUACAAACUUCAGUGUGCUUAAAUUUAAUUUUCAAUAUAACACCGUAUUCUCUCUAACAUCGCUAAAACGCUAAAUGCUCGGUGCAAAAAAACGGAAAUGUAUUUCAACGAAGACGUUUGGUCUAAAAUAAUGUCUCUAAUGACUUUUAGUUUAACGUGCCAUCGUUUAUUUUUAAAAUACAUUGUUAUUACAGGCACCUUCAAUUUAACCCAGAAAAGUUUUCACACUAUUUUGACACUAAUUUUGUAUGAGAUUUUUCACAAAUUUGACGUUUCCUUUUAAAACUUCUGAACUGAAACCUAGUUUAUUAAUAAUUUAUUAAGAGUUAACACGAAGAUUUAAGAAUUAAGAAAGAGCUUCGGCAAAAUUGACAAGUUUAUCGUACCUAAUAUGAAUUGUAUUUGGUAUGAUAAUAUAGUGUAUCGUUUCCCACAAAGAACUAAAAUAAUACUAAGAUAUUCUGUGGUUUCAAUAGUUUCAAGGUAAACUAUGAAAUAGUAUUACAUCAUUUGCGGUUUGUACAAAACAACAUAUGCGAUGCACUAAAUAUGUAAACGCGUCUAUUUUUAUUUUUGGUACAUUUGCAGUGAAGCUCUUAAACCAACCGAUUCUAGCUAGGGGUUCAACUGAGCCUGUACAUAUCACAACAUGAACGCCACAUCCUUAAGAUAUGAUGUUGAAGGGUCUAUCUUUGGGCCCGGGGGCUGCUCCCAACAUCUGCAGACCGUCAAGUCCCACAUACCCCGCGUGCCCCGUAGACGCGGGGACCUCGUAGGAGGUUCGCCCACUGCACGAAAAGUUGAAGUCUCAAUUCUAUUAAAACUGCAACACAUGGCUAGUUUUCGUUACCGUCUUGCAGCAAGAUGGAAAAACUGAUGGUAGAACCUCUUGUCAGUCCGCAUGGGUAGGCACCACCACCCUGCCUAUUUCAGCCGUGAAGUAGUAAUGCGUUUCGGUUUGAAGGAGGGGCGGCCGCGCGUUGUAAACAUACUGAGACCUUAGAACUUAUAGCUCAAGGUGGGUGGCACAUUAACAUUGUAGAAGUCUAUGGGCUCCAGUAACCACUUAACACCAGGUGGGCUGUGAGCUCGUCCACCUAUCUAAGCAAUAAAAAAAAAGAAUUGCCGUUCGCUCGCGUGUGCUCACAAUACGCCUUAUCACGUGGCCUAGCUAUUACGUGGGUUUUGUUUUUAUUACAUGAAAUUUAAUCCCUUAUCGUGGAAGUCGUUCAUGAAAACGUGUUUGGGACGUAUCCACUUAGAUAAGUUGGUAUUUCCUGCUGUUUUUAAACGGCGGUAUUAUUACAGCUCAAUUUUCAUUGAGUCAAAUACAAAUGUUAGCCUUUCAGCAAUAGACGCGUCCUUCGAUUCUUUCCGUAGUAUUGAACGAUUACAAAUGUAUUCUAAAAUUAAAUGCUAAUUAUCAAUAUUAAAUAUCAUAUUUCAAUAAACUAAUGAAACUUUUCACGUGUUUGUAUUCACGCGUUCGUUAAAAAUUACGAAGCCAUUGUUUGUUUUAUUAGCGAUUUAAGUGCUACGUAUUUUCUUUUAUUUUGCAAUAAACCAACGUAUGAGUUUAUAAUAAUCUACCUCUACGAUUAUGAAAUAACUUGGACUAAUAAAAUGAAAUCCGGAAGGUUUUAAAAAAUCCUUUAUUUGACUAUAUCUCUAAAUGUAACUAUAUGAGUAGACGACAUAAAAGCGAAGUCCCAAUUGUAUUGUUUAACGGUUAUCCUCCCUCGUAAAAUUGAACGCACGAUUACUUCGUGGUAAAAAGGCAGGGUGGUGGUACCUUACCUUUACUCGCUAAUAAUACGCCUUACUACCACUAAUUAUGCAAAUUUAAAAAAAAAACUGGUUUAAUUUUAAUUACAGAAUGUAUUUCGUUCAUCAUUGCAGCUGUUCGUGAACACGCACUCGGUAUCAUCGUGUACUUCGUUAGAAAAAAACAAUAUCUAACUACAGUUAGUAUUGCAACGGAGUUCAGUAUAGCGUGUCUCGUGUGUCGAGUAUUGCGAGAGCUGCGCAACAGUGAUUAAAAUCAGAAACAUUAAUAUAACAAGGGUCAGUUAGACGAUUGAUCGCCAAUUGACAUGGGCGCCGCCGCGAGAAACGCUCGUCCACACGUCGUCACCAGAUGGAUCUGCCUCCCCGUUCCGUUAGUACCUACAUUUAUAUCUAAUUGAACGCAUUUAAUUAAAUUCAUUUGGCAGCGAACAAUGACAAGGAGCAAUUAUUCAAAACAAUUUUCAUAUCGUCGCUGUCAAACCAAAAUUUGCUAUGUGCAAAAACUCUGUUCUGUAUUAACGAGUAAAAACAUUUUCGUAUAAAAUUUUAUACGAAGGUGAGUUUUAAAGAACUAUAUCAAAUCAAAGCUAUAGAUAAAUAUUAAAGCUAUAGACAGAUAGCAGUUUUUUUUAUACGGUAGAUAGGGCUGUGAGC